rnacentral:lncRNA from 10 species
GCAAACAACUUCUACUCUAGGCAAAGUGACUUCCAACAAGACAGGGGUAAAAGAACCUGAGCUAGAGUCCAGACAACCAAAUCUGUUAAAGGUAGAAUAUGGUGAUGGGUGCUGUGCAAGAAGAAGGAGGGAAGAAGGAAGCUGAGUGUGCAGCAAAGACACCUGCAGGGACACAUAGAACCAGGCAUUUGCUGAAGGACACCUGGAUUGCACAACCAGCGGCUAACUUGCAUGAAAAAACAUUCUAGGUGGUUUUGCUUAAUGUUGGUCUCUCCAACUGUGCUACAAGCUCCAUGAGGUGAAGGACCAAGUUAAUUGUGUCUUCCAUGCUAGUAAUUUCUGAAGCACUUCAGGUAAUUGCUGCCCUCAGAUUGCCCACAAUCAAGUCAUGGAGGUGAAAUUACAUUUGAUGAAAUGACGGCAACAAAAUUCAGCUACAGAAAACCUUUCGGGAAAGAGUAUUUUGGGACACUGCCAUUUUCAGUUUGACAAGAGGUA